GAUAGAGGGGAGAGGAGCCAAGAUGGCUGAAUAGAAACAGCUGAGGUCUGCAGCUUCCAGCGAGACCAGGGUAGAAGACUAUGGAAAUGCUGUUAGACAAAAAGCAAAGUUGAGCAAUUUUCUCAUUCGAGUUCAAAAUGUGUCGUAAAGCAGUGGAGACAACUCGUAAUAUGAACAAUGCAUUUGGCCAAGGAAUUGCUAAUGAACGUACAAUGUAGUGGCGGUUCAAGAAGUUUUGCAAAGGAGACAAGAGUCUUGAAGAUGAGGAACAUAGUGGCUGGCCAUCAGAAGUCGACAAUGACCAAUUGAGAGCAAUCAUCAAAGCUGAUCCUCUUACAGCCACACCCAAUUCUUCUCCACAAUGCCCGACUGCACAUUGCACAACCAACGCUUCAAACGUUUAAUGAAUUGGGCUAUGAAGUUUUGCCUCAUCUGCCAUAUUCACUUGACCUCUCGCCACUGACUACCACGUCUUCAAGCAUCUCGACAGCUUUUUGCAGGGAAAAUGCAAAGGUCUUUCUUGAUUUUUUUUUGUCUUCA